rnacentral:rRNA from 1 species
UACGUAGGGUGCGAGCGUUAAUCGGAAUUACUGGGCGUAAAGCGUGCGCAGGCGGUUUUGUAAGCCAGAUGUGAAAGCCCCGGGCUUAACCUGGGAAUGGCAUUUGGGACUGCAAGGCUGGAGUGUGGCAGAGGAGACGUGGAAUUCCUGGUGUAGCAGUGAAAUGCGUAGAUAUCAGGAGGAAUACCGAUGGCGAAGGCAGGUCUCUGGGCUGACACUGACGCUCAUGCACGAAAGCGUGGGGAGC